UACGAAGGGGGCUAGCGUUGCUCGGAAUCACUGGGCGUAAAGGGUGCGUAGGCGGGGCUUUAAGUCAGGGGUGAAAUCCUGGAGCUCAACUCCAGAACUGCCUUUGAUACUGAAGAUCUUGAGUUCGGGAGAGGUGAGUGGAACUGCGAGUGUAGAGGUGAAAUUCGUAGAUAUUGGGAGGAACACCAGUGGCGAAGGCGGCUCACUGGACCGGUUCUGACGCUGAUGCGCGAAAGCGUGGGGAGCAAACAGG
rnacentral:rRNA from 1 species